CAGGCUGUGUAAGGCCCAUAACGCUUACGGCCCACCCUAACUGACCAGUGUAGCCCUCCCUUUUCCUCGCGUCCCGUGUUCCCUCGCCGCGCCGCCGUCGCCGUCGCCUUCCUCCAUCCCGCCCGCGACCAGCGUUGCCGCCACCGGGGCUCUUGUCGUGGCCAAGGAAGCAGCGAGUCGGGAAUGGCAUCGCCUGAUGCAUGUGUGGAGGACAAAGUUCAUCGCAUCUUCUUGGAUUUCAUGACCAAGGUUGCACGGUAUGACGAGCUAGUUGAUGCAGGUAAAAAGGUUCUUCUCAAGUUUCAUCAAGAGGUAGAACAUUUUUGGAGACCAAAGCUCCUCACAGAGUCAAGUGCCAUAAUUGAGAUAGUUAAGUCUAACUACAGUGACAGAAUGAGGUCUUAUCUUGAAGCUGGCUGCACCCAUCACAAUGAAAUCAUCCAGAACAUGAACCGGUUACAUGCUUAUCAGGAGAAACUUAAUGACCAUAUAAAUAAAGCCAAAUUAUUGCUGGAAGAGCUCCAGUUUCUGGAGGAAGAUGUUUACAGUGCUGCACUAACAGCCAGUCUGAGUUCUUCAAGAAAUACGGAUGAUUGCCCUGAUCAUGAUAAUCUUACAAAUGUUUGUUCUGAGGAUGAACAACAGCCUGAAGAUUGGCUGGACGGAGCAGUGUCUUUUGCAAGUGUGAUUGUCCUGGUUCACAAUAUGUUAAAAAUGGAUUACAUGAUGCAGGAAAAGAUUGUAAAGGCAUUUUGGGUUAAAACAUCAUCGUCGGAGAUAGAGGGCUACUGUCAAAUGUGGGAUUUGCGGCCAUACAUCGAUGACAAUGUGAUGCAGCUGGCCUGGCAGCUUGUUCCUUAGAAGCUACAAAAACAACGGAGAAGAUGAACAGCAGCACCCAUGUUUGACAGGCAGGAAAACAUUGACGAUCAAGAAAUAUAAUCCGAGGAUUGAAGAAAGUAAGAUUAUAGAUGAAAAAGCUGCCAACAUUGGAAUAAUGAGCUUAUUCUUUCUUUUGGAUGCUGAAGCAGAGCAGACAGUCAACUCAUCCAUUGGAACAUUGGUGCAAAGGUGUGGAUUUCCUUGGACAAACACCUUAUUUCUGUCCGCAAAGAUUCCAUCUACUGGAAUUGGCCCCUCAAAGUUGUUGUAUGACAUAUUUAGAUAUUGUAAUGAGGUGAAAGUCCCAAAGAAAUCCGGUAUUGCACCAGAUAAAUUGUUCUGGGAGAAAUCCAGCACUUUGGUGCCCCUGAGAUUUGCUAAUGAUUGUGGAAUACUUCCCUCUAGGAAGUUGCCUCCUACACGAAGCGAUUCCAACCGGACGCAAGAACCAAGUGUAGAUGGGAUCCUGCCUGUGAGUUUGUUGUGGGAAAUGUUCAAAGAAGCAAGAUUUAUCAAGCUACCAAGUUCUAGUGGUAUGGAGUUUAUGAAUUGGUUGUGUGAUAAAUCGAGUAGCCAGCUCAAUUGAUUUAGCUUGAUAAACAUGUCUCCGCUUAUGCUUCCAGUAAGGGCAUUACAUGAAAGGUUCAAUGCCAACAAUUGUUGGCACCUCGAUAAAGUUGCAGGUAUUCUUCCAGUCAGUUGAUUUUCUGCUAAAUAGAGUUCAGUCAAUCGAUUCAAGUUACCAAUGGAUUGUGGUAUUUCUCCAGAGAAUAUGUUUUGUGAAAGGCUAAGGACAACAAGAUUGUUUAGUUGGCCAAGAGUAUGAGGUAUGCUCCCUGUCAAUAGAUUGUUACCAAGAUAAAGUAGGGAUAUGCUAGAUAGGUUUCCAAUCUCCAAAGGAAUGGUGCCAGAUAUGUAGUUUGACGGAAGAGCUAGUGAAGUUAAUGUUUUCGGCAAUUCGGCUACAGAGCUGGGCAUGUCCCCGCGUAGGUUGUUUUCGCCAAAGUGCAGUUUCUGCAAAUUGGAGCAAUUCUUCAAGGAUGACAGGAAUGCCCAGUCUCCAGCUUCUAACUGGUUUGAGUACAGCAUGACGACCCGCAAAUCUGUCAUCAAGCCGAAAGAAGGAAUCACCCCUCUCAAAGAGUUGUUGGCCAGAUACAGGAACUGCAUGUUGGAAGCAUUUGCUAGAGAUUUAGGGAUUUCUCCAUGAAAAUGAUUGUCAGACAUAAUCAGAACUUGGAUGUUAGGAAGAGUGUUUCCUAUACCAGGAGGCAUUAUCCCCUCAAGAUUGUUGUUGGCCAAACCGAGAAAUGUGAUUGACGACAUGUUGUAAACGGAGGGAUUUACAGUUCCAGAAAGAUUGUUGUAAGAGAGGUCAAGAUACCGUAGCGCCGAUAGUUUACUAAAAUCCGGUAUACUUCCCUGCAACUGGUUUUCUGCAGCUAAGAGUGCUGUAAGCGAUGAGAGAUUCCCUAGAGAUGGUGGUAUGCCUCCUGUCAGGCUAUUCGUUGUAAGAUCAAGGUUGGUGAUCUGGGAAGGGAAUAUUGUUACGGGUGGAAUUGCACCAGAAAGAUUGUUUUCUCCAAGGUAUAUUUCCCUGAUGGUUGAGCUGUUGAAAAGUGCUGCAGGGAUGCUCCCAUAGAGGCUAUUGUUCUUCAAGGAAAGAUAGCGGAGCGAGGACGCAUUAGCCAAGAACAAUGGGAUUCCUCCGGUCAGGUAGUUGUCGGCGAGACCGACGGAUUCCAAGGCAGAUGAGCUCCCAAGCAACGGCGGGAUCUCGCCAUGAAUGUUGUUGUUUGUUAAGUCCAGGGACGAAAGGUUGCGAAGCGUACCAAGGCGUUUUGGGAUCGCACCGCCGAUCGCGUUGAAGCUGAGGUUGAGGUAUCGGAGCCCGGCAACAUCGGCUGCGGAUGCGAGGCCACCGGAGAGGCCAUUGUUGGGGAGGUGGAUUCUCGUGAGGGACGAGAGGUUGGAGAUGCAGGGUGGGAUUUCUCCGCUGAGGCCCUGUGCCUCCAUGUCCAAGGCCACGACCAAACGAGGCUUUGGGAGCUCGCUGGAGCAUGUCACGCCGCGCCAGGUGCACAUGUCGAGCGAGGUAUUGUUCCAUGUGGUGAGGGCGCCUCCCUCUGGGCUUGAGAGGUGUGAUUUGAUGCAGAGCAGAGCUUCCCGUUGGUUAUUGUCGGAUUCGUCAGCUAUUGCUAAUGCUGUAAGGGAGACGAGCAUUGCUACGACUGCAAUGUGUAUAGCUGCACAUACCAUCUUUGCUGGUGUGUAUUUUGGACAAUAUGGUUUCAGUUUUUAGAUGCUUUUGAUUCUUAUAGUGGACUAGGACAUUUAUAUUAAUAGGCGUUUAUACAUCUUUUACCCAUGUUGAUUGUUGGAUGGUGCCAUAUUCUUGGUCGAAUAGUCAAUGCAUUCCUGUUGAACAUGACUAGUUUGUGUGUACGGACUUAGUUACGGAGAUCUUGUUGAAUUAAGAUGGAAGAGGUUGACUAUGCAAA